AAAGUGACCCAUUCCAUAGCUCAACCAGUGAUGACUUCUUCAAGAAACAGACAAAGAAUGACCCGUUUACCUCAGACCCCUUCACAAAGAACCCUUCCUUACCUUCAAAGAUCCCUUCGGAACACUAGACCCCUUUGGAAGCAGCUCCUUCAGCAGUGCCGAGGGUUUCGCUGACUUCAGUCAGAUGUCCAAGGUCAGAGUACACCUGUAAGCCAGCUGGGUUCUUCAGCCUUCCCUGAAUCCCCUGAUCCAUUCCAGCCACUCGAGGCUGACAGCGGCGACCCGUUCCAAAAUAAAAAGGGGUUUGGGGACCCAUUUAGUGGCAAAGAUCCAUUUGCCCCUUCCUCUUCAGCUAAACCUCCUAAGGCCUCUUCUUCCGGCUUUGCCGACUUCACCUCUUUUGGCAAUGAGGAGCAGCAGCUGGCCUGGGCCAAACGGGAGAGUGAGAAAGCGGAGCAGGAGCGGCUGGCGAGGCUUCGGCGACAGGAACAGGAGGACCUGGAGCUGGCCAUCGCCCUCAGCAAGGCCGAUAUGCCGGCCUAGGUGACACAGGGGAAGCCGCAGCUGUCUGUAUGUCCACAUCAUGCUCAGAGCGUGCCCCCUUCAAGCCAAGCCAUGCCACAGCCAAGGACAGCUGGCCACAGGGCCUCAGGCCACAGGGACCUUGUUGAGAGGUAGCAGACACAGCCCACGCCUGUGGGUGGGCCAGGAAGGCAGCCUUCGGUAAAAGGCCUGGAACCUGCCUGUCUCUGAGGUGUCAGUCAGGCUCUUCCUUCCAAUCAUUCAGUGACUGACGGAGAAGGCCUCCAGUCUCCUAGCUACAGACAAGCUCCACCCCAACCCUUCCUCACAUCCACAAGACACCCUGCACACAUGAUGUAUGCAUUCGUUGUAUAAAAAUGAAGUUUGAAUGAUUAAUAUAAAAUAUUUUAAUAC
rnacentral:lncRNA from 1 species